rfam:Candidate division WWE3 bacterium GW2011_GWA2_44_16 TW36_C0002, whole genome shotgun sequence.
GGAGGGGUCGCAUAGUGGCCUAGUGCGGUGGUCUUGAAAACCACUUCCGCCUUUGGUGGACGAGGGUUCGAAUCCCUCCCCCUCCG